GACGAACGCUGGCGGCGUGCCUAAUACAUGCAAGUCGAACGCACUCUCGUUUAGAUUGCAGGAGUUUGCUCCUGAUUGAUAAACAUUUGAGUGAGUGGCGGACGGGUGAGUAACACGUGGGUAACCUGCCCUAAAGUGGGGGAUAACAUUUGGAAACAGAUGCUAAUACCGCAUAAAACCUAACACCGCAUGGUGUAGGGUUGAAAGAUGGUUUCGGCUAUCACUUUAGGAUGGACCCGCGGUGCAUUAGUUAGUUGGUGAGGUAAAGGCUCACCAAGACCGUGAUGCAUAGCCGACCUGAGAGGGUAAUCGGCCACACUGGGACUGAGACACGGCCCAGACUCCUACGGGAGGCAGCAGUAGGGAAUCUUCCACAAUGGACGAAAGUCUGAUGGAGCAACGCCGCGUGAGUGAAGAAGGUGUUCGGAUCGUAAAACUCUGUUGUUGGAGAAGAAUGUAUCUGAUAGUAACUGAUCAGGUAGUGACGGUAUCCAACCAGAAAGCCACGGCUAACUACGUG
rnacentral:rRNA from 1 species